rnacentral:rRNA from 1 species
GACGAACGCUGGCGGCGUGCUUAACACAUGCAAGUCGAACGGAAAGGCCCUGCUUUUGUGGGGUGCUCGAGUGGCGAACGGGUGAGUAACACGUGAGUAACCUGCCCUUGACUUUGGGAUAACUUCAGGAAACUGGGGCUAAUACCGGAUAGGAGCUCCUGCUGCAUGGUGGGGGUUGGAAAGUUUCGGCGGUUGGGGAUGGACUCGCGGCUUAUCAGCUUGUUGGUGGGGUAGUGGCUUACCAAGGCUUUGACGGGUAGCCGGCCUGAGAGGGUGACCGGCCACAUUGGGACUGAGAUACGGCCCAGACUCCUACGGGAGGCAGCAGUGGGGAAUAUUGCACAAUGGGCGGAAGCCUGAUGCAGCAACGCCGCGUGCGGGAUGACGGCCUUCGGGUUGUAAACCGCUUUCGCCUGUGACGAAGCGUGAGUGACGGUAAUGGGUAAAGAAGCACCGGCUAACUACGUGCCAGCAGCCGCGGUGAUACGUAGGGUGCGAGCGUUGUCCGGAUUUAUUGGGCGUAAAGGGCUCGUAGGUGGUUGAUCGCGUCGGAAGUGUAAUCUUGGGGCUUAACCCUGAGCGUGCUUUCGAUACGGGUUGACUUGAGGAAGGUAGGGGAGAAUGGAAUUCCUGGUGGAGCGGUGGAAUGCGCAGAUAUCAGGAGGAACACCAGUGGCGAAGGCGGUUCUCUGGGCCUUUCCUGACGCUGAGGAGCGAAAGCGUGGGGAGCGAACAGGCUUAGAUACCCUGGUAGUCCACGCUGUAAACGGUGGGUACUAGGUGUGGGGUCCAUUCCACGGGUUCCGUGCCGUAGCUAGCGCUUUAAGUACCCCGCCUGGGGAGUACGGCCGCAAGGCUAAAACUCGAAGGAAUUGACGGGGCCCCGCACAAGCGGCGGAGCAUGCGGAUUAAUUCGAUGCAACGCGUAGAACCUUACCUGGGUUUGACAUGGAUCGGGAGUGCUCAGAGAUGGGUGUGCCUCUUUUGGGGUCGGUUCACAGGUGGUGCAUGGCUGUCGUCAGCUCGUGUCGUGAGAUGUUGGGUUAAGUCCCGCAACGAGCGCAACCCUUGUUCACUGUUGCCAGCACGUCAUGGUGGGGACUCAGUGGAGACCGCCGGGGUCAACUCGGAGGAAGGUGGGGAUGACGUCAAGUCAUCAUGCCCCUUAUGUCCAGGGCUUCACGCAUGCUACAAUGGCUGGCACAGAGAGUGGCGAGCCUGUGAGGGUGAGCGAAUCUCGGAAAGCCGGUCUCAGUUCGGAUUGGGGUCUGCAACUCGACCUCAUGAAGUCGGAGUCGCUAGUAAUCGCAGAUCAGCAACGCUGCGGUGAAUACGUUCCCGGG